GUGGGGAAUAUUGCGCAAUGGGGGAAACCCUGACGCAGCGACGCCGUGUGAGGGAAGAAGGCUUUCGGGUCGUAAACCUCUGUCAGAAAGGAAGAACCUCCCAAGUCCGAAUAGGGCUUGGGACUGACGGUACUUUCAAAGGAAGCACCGGCUAACUCCGUGCCAGCAGCCGCGGUAAUACGGAGGGUGCAAGCGUUAAUCGGAAUCACUGGGCGUAAAGCGCGCGUAGGCCGCUUUGUAAGUCGGACGUGAAAGCCCUCGGCUCAACCGGGGAAUUGCGUUCGAAACUGGAUGGCUUGAGUCCUGGAGAGGGUGGCGGAAUUCCGGGUGUAGGAGUGAAAUCCGUAGAUAUCCGGAGGAACACCGGUGGCGAAGGCGGCCACCUGGACAGGUACUGACGCUGAGGCGCGAAAGCGUGGGGAGCAAACAGGAUUAGAAACCCUGGUAGUCC
rnacentral:rRNA from 1 species